rnacentral:rRNA from 1 species
UACAGAGGGUGCAAGCGUUGUUCGGAAUUAUUGGGCGUAAAGGGCGCGUAGGCGGCCUGGCAAGUGGAUGGUGAAAUCCCUCGGCUUAACCGAGGAACUGCCGUCCAAACUGCUUGGCUUGAGACCGGGAGAGGUGAGUGGAAUUCCCAGUGUAGCGGUGAAAUGCGUAGAUAUUGGGAGGAACACCAGUGGCGAAGGCGGCUCACUGGACCGGUACUGACGCUGAUGCGCGAAAGCGUGGGGAGCAAACGGG